rnacentral:lncRNA from 1 species
UGUGAUAGUUAGUAUUACUUAUAUACCUUGAGGAGGCUCAUUUAAUCUUGAUGUAAAGUGCACAAAUCUUAGAAAAAUUCGCAUUAGAUACUUUGUCCCUGCAAAUUAAGAGAAGAAGACCAGAUAACUAAAACCCAUCAAUUAAUCAUAUAUUGUUAAUAACUACUCAUAUCUAUAUUGAGAUAUAUAUUAUGUACACAUACAAAGCUUUACCCAUAUCUGAUAAGGUGAUUUCAUAUUCAACCACGAAGGUGCAAACCAUAUCAUAGAAAUAAUUUGGAUCACAACCAAAAUCUCCUUUCAAUUCAUAUGCUACUACAAGAAAGUGAUCUACCAUAUCCUUUAACAAAAAUUGAAUGCAAAUCAAUCAAUGACAUCGAUAUAUAUACAUGAUCGGUAAAUAAAU